ACAAAAGUAAGAAACGAGCUGGUCAUAAAUGCCCGUUGCCAUCUUUAUCGUUAUUAAAGCAAAAACAUCGUACACUACUCACAGCCGUUAGAUUUCUUUAGGCACUUUUAAACUUGUGGCCCAGAUUAAAACACACCCAUCCAUAAGACAAAACCUCUUUAGUGUUCACAUUUGAUCUGAGUUAAAGUAACCUAACCACAC
rnacentral:lncRNA from 1 species